AAAGAGGGGGUGAUGGUAUAAUUUUAGUGUUAGUGGGGUAAAAUUCCAAAAUGGAAAACCCUAAUUUUUUUCACUCUUUCUCAUUCUUCUAAAAAACAGGAAGCUGUCCCCCACCCAAAACCUCAUGGCUCUUCACUGAUCUUCGACAACCCCGCCACUGUAAUGCCAUUUUCAGCAAUCUACAAGCUCUAAAUGAGCAAAUCGAAGAUCGAACUCUGAGCUCGCGAGCAAGAACAACCCUCCGAAUAGAACACUGCUCACAAACCACUGUUUCUCUCCCCCAACAAAACUCAAACCCAUCCAAGCUCAAAAACAACCACCGAGCAAACCACAAAACUCCGGCGAAAGUGUUUCCCUUUUCCCGUUUCUCCGAACAACAACCAAACCCCAGAUCCCAUUCCUUUCUUCUUCAUCCAACCACACCAACAAUUCCAUUAGCGAGCCGGCGAGCUCAAAUCUUGCACCGACAAACCACAAACCAACUAGAUCUAAUAGAAAUCAAUGCACCUCUACCAUUCAACUCCAAGCUUCGGCGAACGAAGCUAAUGGAUCUUAACACCACCACUGCUCCUCUCUUCUUUGAUGAAUAGGUAUCUAACCCAGAGUUGCAUUCCGAGGAAGUUGUUCGAAUAAAAUUUGAAUAAUCCUUUUUAUUUCAUUAUUAUAUAUAUUAUUGACGUAGGCAAAUAUCAGGCCAUUUCUCAUAUUAUUGCUUUAUUUUAUUCUCUACGUAUAUUUCAUGUUUAUAUUUGUGUGUUAUUUAUUUCAUCCUCAAUUUAAAAAUAAAUGAGUUCAGUCGAACCCACAGUUGUGGAUUUUGAAGGGAGCUAAUACCUUUCCUUUGGGAUAACUUGAACUCCUUACCUAGAAUCUAAUAGUUUCGUAGGCUAUUUUGUUAAUUUAUUGGUUUUCUAAUUAUCCUAAAAUUAGGUGGCAAUUCCUUAAAAUUUAAAAUUUAUCAUUAAAAUUCUUUUUAAGACUAUUAAAUUGAUUUUUUUAUGUUUCCCACGAUGUUGCUCUGUAUUUGGAUGUCAACACGGAUGGAAAAUGGUUCCAACGAUGCGUAUGGGAAAUGAUUUUGGCGAUUGAUACUUAUGCCGAUGGGAAAUGGUUUCGGCGGUGUCGAUGGAAAAUAGUUUCGAUGGAUAUAUGGUCUUUGUGUGGUACCCAUAGGUUCCGAUCUGUUAUACAAUAGAUGUGUAUCAUUAGGACAUACAUGCAUUACUUUACGUGACAUCACAUUAUAUUGCAUUACAUUUUAUCUGUCAUCAUGAAGUUGUGUGUAUGCCCCUUGUGACUCUGUGCUUGAUAUAUUUAAUAUUGUGUGACUUAUUCGGUGAUGCUGAUGAACUAUUAUUGAUCUAUGUGCUAUAUGAGUUGUGUAGUAUAGAUUAGGCUGAUUUUUGUACAGGUUAUAGUUGAGGAGGUUCGGUUGGAAUGAAAGAAGUUCUAGUGGAAUGAAAGAAGUUCUAGUGUCUAUUAGAUUUACUCUAUUUUGUUAGUUGGCUUGCUGAGUACCGUGUUAUUUGAUACUCACUCCUUAUUAUCUACACUUGUGUAGGUUUCGAUCUCAGACAAUGAUUUAGUAUUUAUUCCUUCAUCUGAGGCUUGACGAGGAGACUUGAAAGGGAUUGAGGUUGAAGAUCACACUCAUCUACGUGGCUAGUUAAGCUUUCCUAUUAAGCGGUUGUGGUGAGUCCUCAUUCAUCAGGGACUAGUUAUCGAGUUAGUCAUUAUUUUCAAAGACUUUUUCUAUGUUUUAUAUUGAGGGUGAGCUAGGUACAUGUCUUAGCCCGUCCAUAUUCAUGAGUAGAGGCAUCUAGUUGGACAAAUAUUUCGAGUCUAUGUUGUCAUGUGUCGCUCUUAAAUUUCUAUUCAUGAUUUAGACUCUCUUAUGAUAUUUCUGUUUUUACUUUACCUUAUGUAUGCUUAUGAUAUGUACAAGAGGCUUGGUUGGAGCCCCUUCGGGGUUUUGAUCGCCUUGUUACAAUUAGGCCCUAGGUUGAGUCGUGACAUCACCGAUCAAUGGUGUCUUUAGUACAUUUUUAGUCAUAAGGAUCUGAAUUUGAGACAGCAUAGAUGACUAUAGUUACUAAAGGACUAUGGCAUGACUAUCUUACAUCAUUCGGGGAAAGCCAGUGUGGUGGUCGAUACUUUGAGUAGGAAGGCUCCUAGUAUAUGGAGUCUCUCCACGAUUAAUGUUGAUAGGAGACCCUUGGCUAGGGAUGUUCAGAGGUUAACCAAUAACUUCAUCCGUUUGUGGGUUUUUGAGGAGAGUGGAGGUUUUAUUUUUUUCAUUGAGGCUUACUCUCUAUUAGUAGAGAAAAUUUGGGAGCAAUAGUUUGAUGAUUAGAAGUUAUGCCUCAUUCAAGACAAGGUAUUGAGAUAUGAAGCCAAGCAGGCUAGAAUUGAUUCAGAUGGUGUUUUGAGGAUCGAGGGUAGUAUUUGUAUGCCCAAGGUGGGUGACUUGAUCAGAUUGAUUCUAGAGGAGGCUCAUUAUUUUCGAUAUUCUAUUCACCAGGUGUAACAAAGAUGUAUCAUGACCUGAGCUAAUACUACUAAUAGUGUGGGAUGGAGAGGGACAUCACAUAAUUUGUGCCCAAGUGUGUGACAUAUUAAUAGGUCAAGUAUGAGCACCAACGUUCUGGAGGUGUGACCUAGAGGAUGUAUAUUCCUACAUGGAAAUGGGAGCGGAUCACCAUGUACUUUGUUGUGGGUUUUCCUACCACUGUGGUUGGUUAUGAUUCCAUUUGGGUAGUUGUUGACAGACUGACCAAGUCUGCCCAUUUCAUUCCAAUUCGGGUGAAGUAUACGACAUAGAAGCUAGCCUAGUUUUGUAUUAGUCAAAUUAUUUGGCUUCAUGAGGUGCUUGUGUCUAUUGUUGCUAAUCGAGUUUUUUUUUACUUCGCUCUUAUAGAGGGCAUUACAAUAUGGUUUGAGUACUAGACUUGAUAUGAGUAUCACUUUUCACCCACAGAGAUAUGGCCAGUUCGAGAGGAUGAUUCAUAUGCUUUGAGACUGUGCCAUUGAUUUUGGUGCUAGGUGGGAUCAACAUUUGCCCCUAGAAGAGUUUUUCUAACAUAACAAUUAUCACUCUAGUAUUCAUAUAGCUCCAUUCGAGGCGUUGUAUGGUAGGUGGUGUCAAUCUCUCAUUGGUUGGUUUGAUUCAGUUGAGAUAGACUCUUUAGACACGGACUUGCUUAGGGAUAGACUCUUUAGACACGGAGUUUCUUAGGGAUGCCAUGGAGAAGGUUUGUAUGAUUCAUGGUAGACUCAUGACAAUCCAGAGUACGCAAAAGAGCUAUGUAAACAAGAGAGUUUGACCAUUGGAGAAGGGUGAUCAUGUUUGGCUCCGAGUGUGGCACAUAAAGGGAGUGAUGUGGUUUGGAAAGAAGGACAAGCUUAGCCCGAGGUUCAUUAGCCCAUUUGAGAUUUUGGGGCGAGAGAAAGAGGUGACUUAUAGAUUGGCAUUACAACUUAGCUUAUUAACGGUACAUUCUAUUUUUCAUAUUUUUAUGCUUCGAAAGUAUGUUUCGGACGAGUCCCAUGUGAUCUCCCUUAAUUCGGUAGAGUUAGGUCUAGAUUUGACAUUUGAGGAGGAGCCCAUAGCCAUUCUGGAUAUGCAGCUCCAUAAGUUUAGGACCAAGGAGAUUACAUCAGUGAAGGUGUAGUGGAGGAGCCGUUUAGUUAGAGAGGCAACUUAGGAGUCAAAGGAAAACAUGCAUACUCGAUAUCCCUAGAUUUUCGAAGCUUCAAGUACCUUCCUUUACUUUAUGUUUGAGGAAGAACAUGGUUUUUAGUGGUGGAUGAUGUAAUGACCAUGAAGCUCAUUUUUGGAAAUCUUUCUAAAAUGAUCAUUUAACCCCGCCCAAUAGUUGCCCCGAGUCAUGUUUGAUCAGUAUUCGGUGUUGGUUUUAUGAAAUUCCUUAAAACGUUAGGUUUUUAGAAGUUUUGAGAUUUUAAAGGCUUAAAGUGUUUAAAAGUAAUUUUUGAUACCAACCAGAGUUACGAGUUUCAAAAUGGAAUUCUGUCGAUUUUAUUAGCUCCAAAAUGUGAAAUUUGGUCUAAGAAAGUUGGCGAAAUUAUAUUUGAAGUUAUAACGUGGAUUUGAGGUUCUAAGUUGGAAAUUCUUGAUUUUUUGAUCAAAGAGUUGACUUUCAUCAAUAUUCGGAGUUUCAAUGCUCGGGAUAAAAUUUUGACAGCUACAUUGGAUUUGUCGGAUGAUUUUAGGUCUAGGAAUGGUCUUGAAAUUUUUAGAGGUCCUGAGCUUCAUUUUAUAUUUUGAGGCUUUAAGUUAGUUUCAUUGCGACUUAUUGGGUUCUGGGACAAAGAGACCUCGAAUUUGAAUUCUGAUGGUUCCAUUGAGUCCAGAAUAUCAAAUUUAGUAUGGUAGCAUAAAUGGUUUAUGUGCACGAAUUUCUGAACGAAUCCCAAGGGUCUAUUCCGUGUCUUUUUGCCUUAAGUGUUUUGUUAAUUCUGGUGUCUGAGACUUCCUUCUCUGCGUUUGCGGGACCUAGGCUGCGUUCGUGGGAUAGCAAUCAUAUUCACGGGAUAGCGAUCACAUUCACGGGGAUAAUGAUCACAUUUGUAGAGUGAGACUGAGUCUGCUACCGCAUUCGCAGAAAUGUGGUGAGUUGGAGGCUAUUCGGAAGGAAAAGACCAAAAUACUUGAUUGGUCGAUUAUUGACUAAGGCAAGUAAACUUAUAAAACCUCAUAAAUCUUAUAAAUUACUUGAACUUGCUUUCGGGUAUGUGUGUUGGGGAGUAAUGGAAACAAGGUUUGGAGUGAUAAUAAUGUAAAUUUUACUUAAUGAAAGAUUGGGUUAAUAAAAGAUUAUGUGCGCUAUGUUUGUGAUAGGAAACGUGUACCUCUUGACUUGAACUUGACAUGAACUUGAUGAAAUGCUAUGAUAGCCUAAAUGUGAUUGUGAACUUGAUGAAAUUGUCAUUUUCUCAUUGUUGAUUAUGGAAAUUGACUUGAAAAUACUUUCUCACUGAUUGAUCAAUAAUUGUGAUAAAAAGGUAACAAAAUAGAGAUUUAAUGACUUAUAAUGAUGUAAAUAAUAUAAUUGCAGAUGUUGAUAUCCCGUUGAUAGAGUGAUGUGAAUUGCAUUUAUGUGAAAUACAUUGUGAUUGUGGAUACUAUCAUUCUCUCAUUAUUUGUGUGAACAUACUUAUUUGCAUUAGUUCUGGAAUAGUGUGAUGAGACCUGAUUGGUACUUAUGCCGAUGAGAAAUGGUUCUGACGAUGUCGAUGGAAAAUGGUUUUGGUGAUAGAUAUAUAUGCUGAGGGAAAAUGGUUUUGCGAUGCCGAUGGGAAAUAGUCCCGGAGAAUACAUGGUCCUUGUGCGGCCCUCAUGGGUUUGGUCUGUUAUAGGACAAACAUGCAUCACAUUUAUGUGACAUCACAUAGAUGGGAAAUGGUUCCGGCGGAUACAUGGUCCUUGUGCGUCCCCUAUGGGUUUCGAUUUGUUAUACAACGGAUGUGUAUUACUAGGACAAACAUGCAUCACAUUUAUAUGACAUCAAAUUGCAUUGCAUUACAUCUUAUAUGUCAUCAUGAAGUUGUGUAUAUGCCCCUUGUGACUUUUUGAUUGAUAUAUUUGAUACUGAUGUGGCUUAUUGGGUGAUUUUGACAAGCUAUUGUUGAUCUAUGUGUUGUAUUAACUGUGUAGUAUAGAUUGAGCUAAUUUUUGUGCAUAGUGUAGUUGAGGAGAUUCGGUUGGGAUGAAAGGAGUUCUAGUGUCUUUUUGAUUUACUCUGUUUUGUUAGUUGCCUUGUUGAGUACUGUAUUGUUUGAUACUCACUCCUUGCUAUCUACACUC